rnacentral:rRNA from 1 species
AGUGAACGCUGGCGGUAGGCCUAACACAUGCAAGUCGAACGGCAGCACAGUAAGAGCUUGCUCUUACGGGUGGCGAGUGGCGGACGGGUGAGGAAUACAUCGGAAUCUACUUUUUCGUGGGGGAUAACGUAGGGAAACUUACGCUAAUACCGCAUACGACCUACGGGUGAAAGCAGGGAAUAUUCGGACCUUGCGCGAUUGAAUGAGCCGGUGUUGGAUUAGCUAGUUGGCGGGGUAAAGGCCCACCAAGGCGACGAUCCGUAGCUGGUCUGAGAGGAUGAUCGGCCAAACUGGGACUGAGACAACGCUCAGGCUUCUAACGGGAGCAGCCGGAGGGAAUCAUCGGAAAAUGAGGGCAGGCUGACCGCGGCACGCCGGGGGAGGGGAGGAGGGUCUCCGAGUGGAAAGCUCCGUUGGUAGAGAAAGAAGAGUGUGAGAGUAGAAAGUUCACGUUGUGACGGUACCUUAACAGAAAGGGACGGCUAACUACGUG